GAUGAAGAACGCAGCGAAAUGCGAUAAGUAAUGCGAAUUGCAGAAUUCCAGUGAGUCAUCGAAUCUUUGAACGCACCUUGCGCCCUUUGGCCAUUCCGAAGGGCAUGCCUGUUUGAGUAUCAUGAACACCUCAACUCUCAUGGCUCGCCAUGAUGAGCUUGGAUUUGGGGGUCUUGCUGGCCUGUGGUCGGCUCCUCUCAAAUGGAUCAGCUUGCCAGUGUUUGGUGGCAUCACAGGUGUGAUAACUAUCUGCGCUUGUGGUUUUCCAUCAGAUAACCUUCAGUGAUGGAGGUUCGCUGGAGCUCAUAAACGUCUCCCCUAAGCGGGGACAGCCCUUUGAAUGUUUGAUCUCAAAUCAGGUAGGACUACCCGCUGAACUUAAGCAUAUCAAUAAGCGGAGGA
rnacentral:misc_RNA from 1 species